UACGUAGGGGGCAAGCGUUGUCCGGAUUUAUUGGGCGUAAAGAGCGUGUAGGCGGUUUGGUAGGUCCGUUGUGAAAACUCGAGGCUCAACCUCGAGACGCCGAUGGAAACCAUCAGACUAGAGUCCGGAAGAGGAGAGUGGAAUUCCUGGUGUAGCGGUGAAAUGCGCAGAUAUCAGGAAGAACACCCGUGGCUAAGGCGGCUCACUGGCUCGUAACUGACGCUCAUGCACGACAGCGUGGGGAUCAAACAGG
rnacentral:rRNA from 1 species